ensembl:lncRNA
CUCCAGCUCUCCAAGUUCAUCUCCGUGUGGGGUUGCAGGUACACCUAGCAGAAACCUGAGCUUUAUACUACAGCAAAAUGGGAGAACUUUUCCACUGCAAAAAAAAUCCUACUUCAGAGACUGUUCUUCAAAUCUGACACCACCUCCACUGACAUCAUUUGCCAUGCUUUGGCUGCAGAUUCCCUUUCACAUACUUGCAUCUCUCAAUUAAGAUACACACCUUUUUUGUUUUCCUCUAAAUUUUGCCCUACAAUACAUAAAAAUGUGUUUAUUGGAGAUUAAAAAAGAAAUCACUGAAUAAAAGUGGCAGAUCAGACCGUAUCUGUGAUGUCUUCAGGUUUGUUUUUUUAAACUGAUUUUGCUCAUGCAGCUUAUAUGUGCAGCCAUUCUUAUUUCUGCUAGGAGGUGCAGCUGACUACUUCAAACUGUACUUCAAUAUCUUGGCUCCACAAAAGUCAACAAUCAGUGGCAAAACUUAUUCAAGAACACCAAAAGCAUGUACCUGCAUAGAGAAUAG